rnacentral:rRNA from 1 species
CCUACGGGUGGCAGCAGUGGGGAAUAUUGGACAAUGGGCGAAAGCCUGAUCCAGCGACGCCGCGUGGGUGAUGAAGGUCUUCGGAUUGUAAAGCCCUUUUGUUAGGGAAGAUAAUGACGGUACCUAACGAAUAAGUCCCGGCUAACUUCGUGCCAGCAGCCGCGGUAAUACGAAGGGGGCUAGCGUUGUUCGGAAUGACUGGGCGUAAAGGGCGCGUAGGCGGUAGGAUACGUCUGAUGUGAAAGUCUUGGGCUUAACCUGAGGAUUGCAUUGGAUACGGUCUUGCUAGAGUGUAAGAGGGGAAGAUGGAAUUGUGCGUGUAGAGGUGAAAUUCGUAGAUAUGCACAAGAACACCGGAGGCGAAGGCGAUCUUCUGGCUUACAACUGACGCUGAGGCGCGAAAGCGUGGGGAGCAAACAGGAUUAGAUACCCCUGUAGUC